CUUGCUGGGGUGAUUAGUGGCGAACGGGUGAGUAACACGUGAGUAACCUGCCCCUGACUCUGGGAUAAGCCCGGGAAACUGGGUCUAAUACUGGAUAUGCACCGUGGACCGCAUGGUCCUUGGUGGAAAGAUUUUUUGGUCAGGGAUGGACUCGCGGCCUAUCAGCUUGUUGGUGAGGUAAUGGCUCACCAAGGCGACGACGGGUAGCCGGCCUGAGAGGGUGACCGGCCACACUGGGACUGAGACACGGCCCAGACUCCUACGGGAGGCAGCAGUGGGGAAUAUUGCACAAUGGGCGAAAGCCUGAUGCAGCGACGCCGCGUGAGGGAUGACGGCCUUCGGGUUGUAAACCUCUUUCAGUAGGGAAGAAGCGAAAGUGACGGUACCUGCAGAAGAAGCGCCGGCUAACUACGUGCCAGCAGCCGCGGUAAUACGUAGGGCGCAAGCGUUAUCCGGAAUUAUUGGGCGUAAAGAGCUCGUAGGCGGUUUGUCGCGUCUGCCGUGAAAGUCCGAGGCUCAACCUCGGAUCUGCAGUGGGUACGGGCAGACUAGAGUGAUGUAGGGGAGACUGGAAUUCCUGGUGUAGCGGUGAAAUGCGCAGAUAUCAGGAGGAACACCGAUGGCGAAGGCAGGUCUCUGGGCAUUAACUGACGCUGAGGAGCGAAAGCAUGGGGAGCGAACAGGAUUAGAUACCCUGGUAGUCCAUGCCGUAAACGUUGGGCACUAGGUGUGGGGGACAUUCCACGUUUUCCGCGCCGUAGCUAACGCAUUAAGUGCCCC
rnacentral:rRNA from 1 species